UGUCUUCUGUGGACUGUGUGGGC
rnacentral:piRNA from 1 species